UACGUAGGGUGCAAGCGUUGUCCGGAAUUAUUGGGCGUAAAGAGCUCGUAGGCGGUCUGUCGCGUCGGCUGUGAAAACCUCGGGGCUCAACCCCGGGCCUGCAGCCGAUACGGGCAAGCUAGAAUUCGGUAGGGGAGACUGGAAUUCCUGGUGGUAGCGGUGAAAUGCGCAGAUAUCAGGAGGAACACCGGUGGCGAAGGCGGGUCUCUGGGCCGUAUCAUGACGCUCGAGGAGCGAAGAG
rnacentral:rRNA from 1 species